UACGUAGAGUGCGAGCGUUAAUCGGAAUUACUGGGCGUAAAGCGUGCGCAGGCGGUUUGUUAAGACAGAUGUGAAAUCCCCGGGCUUAACCUGGGAACUGCAUUUGUGACUGGCAAGCUAGAGUAUGGCAGAGGGGGGUAGAAUUCCACGUGUAGCAGUGAAAUGCGUAGAGAUGUGGAGGAAUACCGAUGGCGAAGGCAGCCCCCUGGGCCAAUACUGACGCUCAUGCACGAAAGCGUGGGGAGCAAACAGG
rnacentral:rRNA from 1 species